rnacentral:tRNA from 1 species
GCGGUGUUCGCAUAGUGGUAUUGCGCCGAAUUGCUGAUUCGGUUGGGGUUUCCCCUCGGGAGUUCGAAUCUCUCACAUCGCG